rnacentral:rRNA from 1 species
UACGUAGGGGGCAAGCGUUGUCCGGAUUUAUUGGGCGUAAAGAGCGUGUAGGCGGCUUGGUAGGUCCGCUGUGAAAACUCGAGGCUCAACCUCGAGAUGUCGGCGGAAACCACUUGGCUAGAGUCCGGAAGAGGAGAGUGGAAUUCCUGGUGUAGCGGUGAAAUGCGUAGAUAUCGGAAGGAACACCUGUGGCGAAAGCGGCUCACUGGACCAUUACUGACGCUGAUGCACGAAAGCUAGGGGAGCAAACAGG